rnacentral:tRNA from 1 species
GGGCGUAUAACUCAGUUGGUAGAGUGCUCGCUUAGCAUCUGCGAAAUGCGUGAAGUCCCGUGUUCAAAUCGCGGUUCGUCCA